rnacentral:rRNA from 1 species
UACGGGGGGGGCAAGCGUUGUUCGGAAUUACUGGGCGUAAAGGGCUCGUAGGUGGCCAACUAAGUCAUACGUGAAAUCCCUCGGCUCAACCGAGGAACUGCGUCUGAUACUGGUUGGCUUGAAUUCGGGAGAGGGAUGCGGAAUUCCAGGUGUAGCGGUGAAAUGCGUAGAUAUCUGGAGGAACACCGGUGGCGAAGGCGGCCAUCUGGGACAACACUGACGCUGAGGCACGAAAGCGUGGGGAGCAAACAGG